CCCUGAGCCUCUGGCUCCUGUAAGCCAGAUCUCCAGGCCCAGGCAGGGUCUGAGGGCUGUGGGGUGCAGGACCAGCCCUCCCCUCAGGCUUGUUUCUGAGCUGCCCCACAGUGUGGUGUCGGUCACAGUACCUGACACACCAGCCCCUGGAAAACACUGACCCCUGGGUUGCCUCUAGCAAGCACCCCGCUCCACCUGGAACUACUGCAGUGCUUCAGACAGAGCAGGGCUUCUGUGUUGGACAAACAGGAGAAGAUGCUGACUUCUUAAUGGGACUCAGUGGAAACUUGCAGUGUGACCCCUCCGUCUUUCCAAGUUGCAUCCCAUGUCAGAGGCCAGCACUUAGCCCACCGCAGUGAGCACCUGGAGCCACACAGUGGCCGGGCUUGAGAGGCAGGGAAGGCUGGGGUUCUGGGGAUGCGGCCCCAGGGAAGCAGGCCACACUCACGGUGCCCCUGGGAGCUGUAAGCGGGUGACCGCAUGGCCCUUCCUCUCUCUCCCUCCCUCUGUGCAAUACCUCUCCCUUUUCUGACAGCGUCUUACUUAUGCUCUGACUCCGACACCCAGUUGUCCCAUUUGUGAAGGAGGGAGGCGGGGAGCAGGUUGGUAGUGACCUUGCGAUUGUUCACAAAGACACAACCUGGACGAUGCCAGGGUGAGCAUGUCCACCCUGCAGGCUGCCCGUGCCUUGGCCCGCUCCCUGGGAGCCAUUCUGGAAGGUGGUUCCUGAGUCGUGGGCAAAGAACGCCCAGUGCAGAGUGACGCCCUUCCCCACUGCUGUGUGACGGGCCUGGCCCAGAGCAGAGCUGCCGUGUGAGCCUGGCAUCACCUCACCACGCUGGCCCAGCGGGCAAGGACCUUGCACUUUCGAGGCAGGCGGUGGAACCACUGAGCUACAUUCCCAGCUCAGGAAUUUGUCUUCCUUUCUGAGGCGUCUCCACACUGAUCUCUGCAGUGUUGUACCGCGUACUCCCCCACCCGUGGGGAAGGCCCCUCGCCAGCGCUUGUUACUGCUGGGUUUCUUGAAGAUGGCCCUGCCCUCUGGGGAUGGUGGGACUCGGUGCUGCUUUAAUUUAAUCCCUUAUUCUCAGCGUUGCUGUUUACUCCUUCAAGUCCUGAACUCACACAGGUAGUUUCAAAGUUGCCAACCUUUGUGCCAUGAAAAGAAAACCUACUGGAGUUGAAGCUCAGCACUUUUCCUUUUGGGGAGAGGUGGGCAGGCAGGGAGAGGCGGGGCUGAGUGAGUCUGUGGCACAGAUGCCCACACCGCCCACCGGGCCUCCGCUCUUCGGCCCUGCCACGAAGCCCUGCGUCUGCGUUUCCAGCCCUCCCUGCUGUCGGGCUCAGCCAGGGAGCUGUUGGCAGCCCCUUUAUCAGGAGGUGGGAAUGCCUGGGGCCCAGGCAAUGGGACAUCAAAUGUCCUUGACGGAGAAAGGGUAAUUUCAUCCAGGUUCCUCAAACACUCGGAAUGGAGCCAGCGUGUGACGCUGCAGUUGGCUUCUGGGUGCUCACAUCCAAGGCUGCGGAGCUGGUGUGGCAAGGAGACACCUACACGCCACGUUCACCACAGCUGAGAAAAACAGUGCACCCAGGCAUGCCCCACCAAUGAGCGUGUGAAGGGACAGUGGACGCGCAUGGCAGCAUGCCGUGAGCCUCACAGAAGAGGGAAACAUGUCCUUUCUGACACACAGGUGAAUCCGGGCGAUGUUAAGUAAGACACACCAAGCAACAACAACAAUACCUGUGUGUGUGCGGUGCUGGGGACUGGACCCAGGACCUUCACACUGAGCUACAUCCCCACCUUUUCAUUUUCUGUUUUGAGACAGGGUCUCGCUAACUUGCUCAGUUGCCCAAGCUGGGCUCAAACUUGCCAUCCUCCUGCCUCUGCCUCCCAGUGCUGGGAUGACAGGCGUGCACCACCACACUUAGUUCCUGCUCUAACUUUUCAACAAAAUCCAUUACACUGUGUAGGAAAAGGUAAAAGAAAACUACGCGAUGGCUUUCUGGAUCUUUGUGUUCUAAACGCUGCCCUAACUUCUUGGAGAAGGCUUGUCGGUCAGUCGGGACUCAAGAAAGCCCUGGGCCUCCCAGGAGGCGCCGCCCCUCCUCGGCCCCAUGCACUGGCCUUGGGAACCCUUCGGGUUGCCCAGACGCGAGGAUGGGGCUCCUCCUCCUCCACAGGCCCAGCACUGCCUCUGCUGAGGGUAGAUUUGUUGGAUUCAUAUGCUUGUAGAAAGCAUAGAGAUACAAGUUUAGAAGGAGAAGCAGUCACAGUGGGAACAAGGAGAGAAGCGAGGAGAGAGGCCGCUUCCUUGCUGGAGCCGGAGCUCGAGGGCCUUGGUUCCCAGCGCCUCUCCCCGAGAGUUACACCUGCAUCAGCUGCUCUAGGCUCAGACCCUGCCUUGGCCGUGGACCCUCCCUGCCCUUGCACUCUCCCUCUCUCCGUGAGAUUUGUGACGGGGCCUCAGGCUGACGGCCAAGUUAGCAAGUAUUAAGAGGUACGUGCGCAUGUCAGUGCAUUCACAUGCUGAGAGAAUAAUAAAAUACAGGGCCGGGAUUUAGCUCAGUGGUCAUGCCUGCCUUGCAAGCACAAGGUCCCCAGUUCGAUCCCCGGUACCCAAAGAAACCAACAACAUACCUGCAUUUAUACACAGGUGCCUGAGCAACCAGGCACAAAUGUACAGCUGCCCCCGAAGUGUGUUUCUGCAAUUCAGCCUGUCCACUGCGGCCCCUCUGCACCUGGCUGGAGCCCAGAGGAGGACCUGGGCCUGCCGACACCCUGCUCAUGCUCCGCCUGUCCUGCUCCCUCCAGGUCAGGGUUUGCCGAGUCCUUCCCUUCCCUGCCCUGACCCCUGCCCUGACAAAGCCCUCCCGACGGAUGCAGGUGCCGGUAGAUAAAGGACAGGGACUGACGAUGUCUUACUGCAUCUGUGCACAUUUUAGUCAGUUCACCAAGCACCUCCCAGGCCGCAGGGCCCAGCGGGGCUGCGCUCCUGCCUGGCCCUACUGGUCCCAGUCCUUGACGAUGCUCAGGACGCCCCGCUCAGGGGCGGGGCCUGCCAGCCUGGCCAGCACGUCCAGCCCUCCGUGCUCCUUCUCCCUGGAGGACACAAAGUGGGCAGCUCCUGCACCCCGGACCCCGGGGCGCCCGCCCGUGUCCCCGUCCCUGUCCCCGUGGCCUGCGCAGCUCCCGGAUCUGUGGCAGGCCAGGCCGAUUGGGACCGCAGGGCAGGAGCCCGGGCACCGCUUACCGGAGGACAACGUUGCAUGCCUGGCGGUGGCCGCUGACCAAGGCCUGCUGGCCCCGCUCCCCAACAUCGUUCCCGCUCACGUCCAGGUGCCUCAGCUCCAGGUUGGUGCCCGGCACAGCCGCCAGGGCAAGGCAGCCAGCAGAGGACAUGCAGGUGGCAGCUGGGGCACGCCAGGGCCUCGCACAGAGUGGCGGCGCCGUCAUCCCCGAGGUCAUUGAGGCUGAGGUCCAGGCUUUGGAGGGCGCUGCUGCUCUCGAGAGCUGAGGCCACGUCCUGACAGCAAGCCGAGUGAGACCGAGGACUCAUGUGCUGACUCUGUCUUCCACCACUUGAGGAACAGCCAAGAACGUCUUCUGAAGUGCCAGCACCUUCUCCUGCUUCUCCGGGGAAAGCUCAAAGUGUCAGUGCUUCCUCAGGCAUGGGCGCGUGACCCAGAGGCCCACACCUGCAGACUCCGGCGACUUUUCCUCUCGGAGACACAUCGUCAUCGGCCUCACACUUGCCAUCCUCCUGCCUCAGCCUCCCAGAGUGCUGGGGUCACAGGCGUGCACCACCAUGCCUGGCUCCGUAUUUAAUUCUGUGCUGAACUUCCUCCCGUGACAGCCAAGUGAGACCUCCCCAGGAGGAAGGCAGCGUGACCUGGACACUGACCCUGAGCCCCCGCCCGGCUCUUGUGAUGAGCAGAUGUCGCCGUCCUGCGCAUCUGCAGGGCCCUGGGUGCCUGGGCCCCGCUAACCUGCCUCUUCAGUGGAAAUAACACCCUUUUCCUGACUGCUGUCCCCUGGCACAAGCAUGGCUCCAAUAGGCCUCUGUGGGUCACACGUGUGCCACAGACUAGAACACGAAGCAGGUGUGCUCGGCACUGCUCCCCGCACGCCGAGCCUCAAGGGGAGGCACCUGGGGACUCACACCAGCCUCUGGAGGGGCAGCGCCGCGCUUGCCAGGCUCUCCCAGAUGUGCCUCGCCCCUUCAUCCUUCAGGGCAUUGCCCGCCAGGCUCAGGUGCGUCAGCGUCCGGCUGCUCCCCAGGGAGACGGCCACGCCCGGGCAGGCCAGCUUCAUGAGCCCGCAGCUCUCCAGCCUGGGGACAGAGACUCGAGGUGAGCUGCGGACAGGUGGCCGGGUGUGGGGAUGCACGCCUGUGACCCCAGCCCUCUGGGAGGCUGAGGCAGGGGGGAUUGUAAGUUCAAGCCCAGCCUGGGCAAUUUAGCGUCUGGGGGAGAACCUGUCUCAAAAUAAACAAAAAAGGGCUGAUUGUGUCACACAGCGUGAAGGCCUGCCAGCAGUUCCCUAUACCAAAAAUAUCCCAGCCAACCAAAGGAACAAACAGCCCCCGCCCGCCCCUGUGAGACAGGAAAGGGAUGGCCCAGGAGGAGGAGAGGCGCAGAAGCCUGGCCUGCAGUUUAGAGCUAAGGCGGAGGCUGAGGUUGUGGAAAGCGUUCGUCAGGGAUCAGCGUGACGCAAUGAAAACGGGAUCCCGUUCCCACGCCACCGAGUGGAAAAGCGGUCAGAAAGCGGGCUGCGAAGGCUCAGAGGAGCUGUCAGACGCGCUAUGGGUGGACGGAGCCCGGAGGUGCGC
ensembl:lncRNA